GCCGGCACCACGCAGAUGGGCGUCGACCCGUACGUUGUCAUACGGGGGUUGCAGGUUCAAGUCCUGUAGCCGGCACCA
rnacentral:tRNA from 1 species